CUUAUAAUUGCAUGAUCAUUCCCUAUUACUCACGACUUGUUGUUUACCCAUUGAAACCUAAUUCUUGGGAUCUCCAGUCUUUUAGGUUGGGUUACCAUCAUAAGUAAUUCUCAGUAGGCAUUAGUCCCAUCUUCUUGGAUGUAUUAUGGACUUCAUUUUAGCUAUUCCUUUCGUCAAAGGAUAUGCUAAACUUUCAUCAGUGUGUACAUGACCC
rnacentral:lncRNA from 1 species